rnacentral:rRNA from 1 species
CGAGGCACGAUAGUGGCAGACGGGUGAGUAACACAUUGGUAACCUACCUCUAACACGGGCAUAACAUUCCGAAAGGAGUGCUAAUUCCCGAUGUGCUGCGGCAAGAUAACUUGCCGUAGUAAAACCCCGGUAGUUAGAGAGGGGCCUAUGGUCCAUCAGCUUGUUGGUGGGGUAAAAGCCUACCAAGGCUACGACGGAUAGCGGGCGUGAGAGCGCGACCCGCCUCACAGGGACUGAAACACUGCCCUGACUCCUACGGGAGGCUGCAGUCGAGAAUCUUCCUCAAUGGACGUAAGUCUGAAGGAGCAACGCCGCGUGAUUGAAGAAGCCCUUCGGGGUGUAAAAAUCUUUUAUUAGGGACGAAUUUUGACGGUACCUAAUGAAUAAGGGGCUGCUAACCUCGUGCCAGCAGCAGCGGUAAUACGAGGGCCCCGAGCGUUAUCCGGAUUUAUUGGGCGUAAAGCGUCCGCAGGCGGCUUUAAAAGUCAUUGGUUAAAUUUACCGGCUCAACCGGUGAACUGCCAGUGAAACUUUAAAGCUAGAGGCUGGGAGAGGCAAGCGGAAUUGCCGGUGGAGUAGUAAAAUGCGUUGAUAUCGGCAAGAACACCAAAUGCGAAGGCAGCUUGCUAGAACAGUUCUGACGCUCAUGGACGAAAGCGUGGGUAGCGAAUGGGAUUAGAUACCCCAGUAGUCCACGCCGUAAACGAUGGGUACUAGACAUUGGAAGUAUCGACCCUUUCAGUGUCGUUUCAACAAAGAUAACUCGUUAAGUACCCCGCCUGGGGAGUACGGCCGCUAGGCUAAAACCCAAAGGAAUUGACGGGAACCCGCACAAGCGGUGGAGCAUGUGGUUUAAUUCGAUAGCACGCGAGGAACCUUACCAAGGCUUGACAUCCCGAGAAUCCCCUGGAAACAGAGGAGUGCCGCAAGGAAUUCGGUGACAGGUGCUGCAUGGUUGUCGUCAGCUCGUGUCGUGAGACGUCGGGUUAAGUCCUUUAACGAGCGCAACCCCUGCUUUAUGUUACAUAUUUCAUAAAGGACUGCUUACUUUAAGUAAGAGGAAGGUGGGGAUGACGUCAAAUCAGCAUGGUCCUUACGCCUUGGGCUACACACAUGCUACAAUGGCCGGUACAAUGGGUCGCGAAGCGGAAACGCGGAGCUAAUCCCACCAAAGCCGGUCUUAGUUCGGAUUGGGGUCUGCAACUCGACCCCAUGAAGCUGGAAUCGCUAGUAACCCUGAAUCAGCCUCGUCAGGGUGAAUACGUUCUCGGGUUUUGUACACACCGCCCGUCACGUCAAGGGAGCCGGUGGUACCUGAAGACUCAUUUUAUAUGGGGACAAGGUAAAAUUGGUGACAGGGACGAAGUCGUAACGAGGCG